UAUGCCCCUUAUGUCUUGGGCUUCACGCAUGCUACAAUGGCCGGUACAGAGGGUUGCGAUGCCGUGAGGCGGAGCGAAUCCCAAAAAGCCGGUCUCAGCUCGGAUUGGGGUCUGCAACUCGACCCCAUGAAGUCGGAGUCGCUAGUAAUCGCAGAUCAGCAACGCUGCGGUGAAUACGUUCCCGGGCCUU
rnacentral:rRNA from 1 species